rnacentral:rRNA from 1 species
AACGAACGCUGGCGGCAGGCUUAACACAUGCAAGUCGAGGGGCAGCAGGACUGUAGCAAUACAGUUGCUGGCGACCGGCAAACGGGUGCGGAACACGUACGCAACCUACCCAAAACUGGGGAAUAGCCCGGGGAAACCCGGAUUAAUCCCUCGUAACAUAAUGAAGUGGCAUCACUUUAUUAUUAUAGCUCCGGCGGUUUUGGAUGGGCGUGCGCCUGAUUAGGUAGUUGGCGGGGUAACGGCCCACCAAGCCUACGAUCAGUAACUGGUGUGAGAGCACGACCAGUCACACGGGCACUGAGACACGGGCCCGACUCCUACGGGAGGCAGCAGUAAGGAAUAUUGGUCAAUGGACGCAAGUCUGAACCAGCCAUGCCGCGUGAAGGAUGAAGGUCCUCUGGAUUGUAAACUUCUUUUAUAUGGGACGAAACCUCCGGAUUCUUCUGGAAUUGACGGUACCAUAGGAAUAAGCACCGGCUAACUCCGUGCCAGCAGCCGCGGUAACAC